AGCUUAUUUUGCGCAGCUUAGGUGGGAGGCUAUGAACCUUUUCUUCUGGGAAGAGGGGAGCCGUCAGUGAGAUACCACUCUUGGUAAGCUAGAGCGCUCAGUCUUAACCGUCAUCCGGUAAGACGACAGUUUCAGGCGGGCAGUUUGACUGGGGCAGUCACCUCCCAAAAGGUAAUGGAGGUGUGCAAAGGUUCCCUCAGGCUGGACGGAAAUCAGCCAUAGAGUGUAAAAGCAAAAGGGAGCUUGACUGCGAGACUGACAUGUCAAGCAGAGACGAAAGUCGGCUUUAGUGAUCCGACGGUGCUGUGUGGAAAGGCCGUCGCUCAACGGAUAAAAGUUACUCUAGGGAUAACA
rnacentral:rRNA from 1 species